rnacentral:rRNA from 1 species
UACGAGGGGUGCAAGCGUUGCUCGGAAUUAUUGGGCGUAAAGGGUAGGUAGGUGGUCUCAUUUGUCAGGGGUGAAAGCCUUGGGCUUAACUCAAGAAGUGCCCCUGAAACGGUGAGACUAGAGUCCUGGAGAGGGUCGUGGAAUUCCCGGUGUAGCGGUGAAAUGCGUAGAGAUCGGGAAGAACACCCGUGGCGAAGGCGGCUCUCUGGGACGGUACUGACGCUGAGACGCGAAAGCGUGGGGAGCGAACAGG